rnacentral:lncRNA from 1 species
CAGUCAGACUACCAAUACUUUCAUCCAACACCAAAAUUAGAAGACAUUCCCAUAUAACAAGAAUUUCUUCAGAAGAUCAAUAGCCAUAGAAAUAUUUCUGAGAACGGGUGAACACAUAGAACAUCUCAAAAGAGACUGCUAAAUCUGUCCGGUCAUAACUGUCACACUCAGAUAAUUCACAUUUCAAAUAUCAUUUCCCCAACUAGUUCUGCCGUCACAAAUUUCAUAUUAAAUCAUUCACUAAAGAAUGUCAGUUCUGAAUAAAUUUCGAUUUACACUUUUCUCGACCUUGCACCUGAGUAAUUCGAUUUACCAAAGAGAAUUCCUUCUCUAACUGGGACAGUGCAUAAUUCCAAUAAUCUUUAUAUCAAUCCGAUACUUUCUGGCUCUGACUUUACUUAUCAGCUCAUUUUCAAUCUCUGAUCAUACUUAUAAUUAUUCUAUCACUGAACUCUUUGGGUU